AGGGAAUAUUGGUAAUGUGCGAAAGCGCGAACCAGCAACGCCGCGUGCACGAUGAAGGCCUUCGGGUCGUAAAGUGCUUUUAGAGAGGAUGAGGAAGGACAGUACUUUCUGAAUAAGCCUCGGCUGACUACGUGCCAGCAGCCGCGGUAAAACGUAGGAGGCUAGCGUUAUCCGGAUUUACUGGGCGUAAAGCGCAUGCAGGUGGUUUUGUAAGUUGGAUGUGAAAGCUCCUGGCUUAACUGGGAGAGGUCGUUCAAAACUACAAGACUUGAGAUUGGUAGAGGAAAAUGGAAUUCCGGGUGUAGUGGUGAAAUGCGUAGAUAUCCGGAGGAACACCAGUGGCGAAAGCGGUUUUCUGGACCAAUUCUGACACUCAGAUGCGAAAGCUAAGGUAGCAAACG
rnacentral:rRNA from 1 species